GCCGACGUAGCUUAGUGGAAAAGCACUUCAUUGGUAAUGAAGAGACCAUGGGUUCGAUCCCCAUCGUCGGCU
rnacentral:tRNA from 4 species